rnacentral:rRNA from 1 species
UACGGAGGGUGCGAGCGUUAAUCGGAAUUACUGGGCGUAAAGCGCGCGUAGGCGGUUUGAUCAGUCUGAUGUGAAAGCCCUGGGCUUAACCUGGGAACGGCAUUGGAUACUGUCAAGCUCGAGUGUGAGAGAGGGUAGUGGAAUUUCCGGUGUAGCAGUGAAAUGCGUAGAGAUCGGAAGGAACACCAGUGGCGAAGGCGGCUACCUGGAUCAACACUGACGCUGAGGUGCGAAAGCGUGGGGAG